rnacentral:miRNA from 1 species
AGUGGAGAUGUUGAAAUUCAAA